AUAGAUUUAGUUAAAGCUAAUAAUAUAUAUUUGUCGUAUAUAAGUUGUUUUUUAAACAAUCUAUU
rnacentral:tRNA from 1 species